GACUCUGUAGUGAAGUUCAUGUUGAGUUGCAAGCUCAUUGAUAUGUGCUCAGAGCACAUCAGAGUCU
rnacentral:tRNA from 1 species